rnacentral:rRNA from 1 species
UAACACGUGGGUAACCUAGCCUUAUAGUGGGGGAUAGCCUUUCGAAAGGAAGAUUAAUACCGCAUAAGAUUGUAGUAUCGCAUGAUAUAGCAAUUAAAGGAGCAAUUCGCUAUAAGAUGGACCCGCGUCGCAUUAGCUAGUUGGUGAGGUAAUGGCUCACCAAGGCGACGAUGCGUAGCCGACCUGAGAGGGUGAUCGGCCACAUUGGGACUGAGACACGGCCCAGACUCCUACGGGAGGCAGCAUG